GUCGUGUUUACACUACCAGCCUUGGCCUACAUUUUGACAGUGUAAACAGACUCUGGCCUAGCCUUGGCCUGACCUAGGCCAGGAAAUCUGGGCUCACUACAACCGGUGGCCUAGGCCUGGCCUAUAGGCUUGUGGAAAUGUAAACACUUUCGGCCUGGGCGUUAUUUUCAUGGCAACGUGUGUCCACAGUGAGAGAUUAGCGGACAACCAGCGGCGGACAACG